rnacentral:rRNA from 1 species
UACGAAGGGGGCUAGCGUUGCUCGGAAUACUGGGCGUAAAGCGCGCGUAGGCGGACGUUUAAGUCAGGGGUGAAAGUGCCGGGGCUCAACCUCGGAACUGCCUUUGAUACUGGACGUCUGGAGUUCGGGAGAGGUGAGUGGAAUUCCGAGUGUAGAGGUGAAAUUCGUAGAUAUUCGGAGGAAACACCAGAAGCGAAGGCGGCUCACUGGCCCGAUACGUGACGCUGAGGCGCGAAAGCGUGGGGAGCAAACAGG